rnacentral:snoRNA from 1 species
GGGAUAUGAUGAGUGGUCAUUACUCGCACGCGAUGCGAGAUGGGUGUCCGCCACGCCUGGUUACGACAACCUGGGCACUCCCAUUUUUACCAUCUGAUCCC